UACGUAGGGGGCAAGCGUUGUCCGGAUUUACUGGGCGUAAAGCGCGUGUAGGCGGACGCGAAAGUCCGGUGUGAAAGCCCCCCGCUCAACGGGGGAAGGUCGCUGGAAACUGCGCUUCUUGAGGGCGGCAGAGGGAAGUGGAAUUGCUGGUGUAGCGGUGAAAUGCGUAGAGAUCAGCAGGAACACCCGUGGCGAAGGCGGCUUCCUGGGCCGCGCCUGACGCUGAGACGCGAAAGCGUGGGGAGCGAACGGG
rnacentral:rRNA from 1 species